GUAGAAAGGAAAUGAAAAGGAAGCAAGAGUCAAAGUGAAAUUCGAAAACAGUGCGACAGGUCCAAAACGUUGAGUUCACAAAUACAAAUUUCCAACCAAAUCCUACGCCAUUAAAGCUCCAACGUUGAGCUUACCAACUACAUCCCAAGCCCUUUUUCCCAUCUUUCAUUUUAACGUUUCUCAUCUCUCUCUUUCGAAUUUUCUAGAAUUCAACAGAGAGAGGAUUCAUCGCAAAGAGAAUCGGGGAAGACAGCAAUGGAACACUGGAGGAUGAUUCUGCCGUCUUUCCUGUUAAUUUUGACCUUGUUGGCGACGGAUCUUGUGCGCCCCAGCCAUGCUAUUUGGCUUAACCUUCCUUCAACGGGAACCAAGUGCGUCUCUGAGGAAAUCCAUAGCAACGUCGUUGUUUUGGCUGAUUACGUUGUAAUCUCUGAAAAUUACACCUACGCACCCACCAUUUCUGUCAAGGUAACAUCACCUUACGGGAACAACCUCCACCAAAAGGAGAAUCAAACGAUUGGGCAGUUUGCAUUCACCACAGCAGAGGCUGGCAACCAUCUGGCUUGCUUUUGGAUUGAUGGCCAUCAUCAGGGUGGUGGUGAUGUUAGCUUAAAUCUCGAAUGGAGAACUGGAAUUUCAGCUAAGGAUUGGGAGUCAGUUGCAAAAAAGGAAAAAAUUGAGGGUGUCGAGCUUGAGCUCGUAAAACUUGAAGGGGCGGUAAAGGCCAUUCAUGAGAAUCUUUUGUAUCUGAAGAAUAGGGAAGCAGAAAUGAGGACAGUUAGUGAAAAAACGAAUGGAAGAGUGGCGUGGUUUAGCAUAAUGUCUUUGGGAGUUUGUAUUUUGGCUUCAGCAAUUCAACUAUGGUACUUGAAGCGAUUCUUCCAUAAGAAGAAGCUCAUCUAAAACACUUUUGCAGCUUCAACGUUUCAUUUAACUAGUUUAUGUAAUCAAGGGAUUUGUGCAACUCAACCAAACUUUCUCUAAGUUUCUUCCAAAAUUAUCAUCAUUAUUUGGACAAAGAUACCAAAGAAAAGUAAGAAAAACAAACUGGCAACAGAACAUGGAGAGAGAGGUUGAUGGUUGGAUUUCAAACAGAUUCAAUGUGUCAUGGAAAAACUAUUGUUUUGAAAGCAAUUUCGACAAGGAUUUAAUUCUAAAUUGUUUCUAUAUCAACUGCUCUCAAAGUUUAACACACUACCUUUCUCAAAUGUGUACAUAUUAAAGAGGGAUUGGAAUCGAUAAAGAAGACGACUUUGCUUAGAGUUUUUUGAGGAAAACGAUUUGUAUUUGGCAUGAA